CGCGUUGGCCCAAUUGAUUGAUCGGUGCUUGCACCUGAUUGAUUUUGGUCGCCAACGAGUGGCGGACGGGUGAGUAACACGUAGGUAACCUGCCCAGAAGCGGGGGACAACAUUUGGAAACAGAUGCUAAUACCGCAUAACAGCGUUGUUCGCAUGAACAACGCUUAAAAGAUGGCUUCUCGCUAUCACUUCUGGAUGGACCUGCGGUGCAUUAGCUUGUUGGUGGGGUAAUGGCCUACCAAGGCGAUGAUGCAUAGCCGAGUUGAGAGACUGAUCGGCCACAAUGGGACUGAGACACGGCCCAUACUCCUACGGGAGGCAGCAGUAGGGAAUCUUCCACAAUGGGCGCAAGCCUGAUGGAGCAACACCGCGUGAGUGAAGAAGGGUUUCGGCUCGUAAAGCUCUGUUGUUAAAGAAGAACACGUAUGAGAGUAACUGUUCAUACGUUGACGGUAUUUAACCAGAAAGUCACGGCUAACUACGUGCCAGCAGCCGCGGUAAUACGUAGGUGGCAAGCGUUAUCCGGAUUUAUUGGGCGUAAAGAGAGUGCAGGCGGUUUUCUAAGUCUGAUGUGAAAGCCUUCGGCUUAACCGGAGAAGUGCAUCGGAAACUGGAUAACUUGAGUGCAGAAGAGGGUAGUGGAACUCCAUGUGUAGCGGUGGAAUGCGUAGAUAUAUGGAAGAACACCAGUGGCGAAGGCGGCUACCUGGUCUGCAACUGACGCUGAGACUCGAAAGCAUGGGUAGCGAACAGGAUUAGAUACCCUGGUAGUCCAUGCCGUAAACGAUGAGUGCUAGGUGUUGGAGGGUUUCCGCCCUUCAGUGCCGGAGCUAACGCAUUAAGCACUCCGCCUGGGGAGUACGACCGCAAGGUUGAAACUCAAAGGAAUUGACGGGGGCCCGCACAAGCGGUGGAGCAUGUGGUUUAAUUCGAAGCUACGCGAAGAACCUUACCAGGUCUUGACAUCUUGCGCCAACCCUAGAGAUAGGGCGUUUCCUUCGGGAACGCAAUGACAGGUGGUGCAUGGUCGUCGUCAGCUCGUGUCGUGAGAUGUUGGGUUAAGUCCCGCAACGAGCGCAACCCUUGUUACUAGUUGCCAGCAUUAAGUUGGGCACUCUAGUGAGACUGCCGGUGACAAACCGGAGGAAGGUGGGGACGACGUCAGAUCAUCAUGCCCCUUAUGACCUGGGCUACACACGUGCUACAAUGGACGGUACAACGAGUCGCGAACUCGCGAGGGCAAGCAAAUCUCUUAAAACCGUUCUCAGUUCGGACUGCAGGCUGCAACUCGCCUGCACGAAGUCGGAAUCGCUAGUAAUCGCGGAUCAGCAUGCCGCGGUGAAUACGUUCCCGGGCCUUGUACACACCGCCCGUCACACCAUGAGAGUUUGUAACACCCAAAGUCGGUGGGGUAACCUUUUAGGAGCCA
rnacentral:rRNA from 1 species